GCGNGNAAUAGCCAUGCAUGUCUAGUACACGCCGAAACAGGGCGAAACCGCGAAUGGCUCAUUAAAUCAGUUGUUGUUCCUUAGAUCGUACACAACUACUUGGAUAACUGUGGUAAUUCUAGAGCUAAUACAUGCAGCAGAGCUCCGACCCUCACGGGAACGAGCGCUUUUAUUAGACCAAAGCCAAUCGAACGUCCUUCUUGGGCGUCCGUCCUCCGUGGCGACUCUGCGUAACUUUGGGCCGAUCGCACGGGCACGUCCCGGCGACGCAUCUUUCAAGUGUCUGCCUUAUCAACUGUCGAUGGUAGGUUACGCGCCUACCAUGGUCGUAACGGGUGACGGGGAAUAAGGGUUCGGUUCCGGAGAGGGAGCCUGAGAAACGGCUACCACAUCCAAGGAAGGCAGCAGGCGCGCAAAUUACCCACUCCCGGCACGGGGAGGUAGUGACGAAAAAUAACGAUACGGGACUCUCUCGAGACCCCGUAAUCGGAAUGAGUACACCCUAAAUCCUUUAACGAGGAUCUAUUGGAGGGCAAGUCUAGUGCCAGCCGCCGCGGUAAUUCUAGCUCCAAUAGCGUAUAUUAAAGUUGUUGCGGUUAAAAAGCUCGUAGUUGGAUCCGAGUCUGUCCCCGGCGGUCCGCCCGACGGUGGAAACUGCCGAGGGAGAGACAGCCAGCCGGUUUCCCCCGAUGAUCUUCGCCGGUUGUCCCGGGUGACCGGCACGUUUACUUUGAAAAAAAUUAGAGUGCUCAGAGCAGGCAUGCUACGCCUGGAUAAUGGUGCAUGGAAUAAUGGAAGAGGACCUCGGUUCUAUUUCGUUGGUUUUCGGAACGCGAGGUAAUGAUUGAGAGGGACAGACGGGGGCAUUCGUACUGCGACGCUAGAGGGUGAAAUUCUUGGACCGUCGCAAGACACUACUGCNAANUUUUUUUUUUUNGGAAAA
rnacentral:rRNA from 1 species